CUCACGUCAGUAUUUUGCAAUACAGAUUGUAAUUCAUUACACUUUGGUGUAUAGUGAAUAAAACCUGUGUAUUUUUAUAUAUUGUCUAUGAUGCAGGCAGGGAUGUGAUGCAGACAGCCUGCUGUUGGGUCCAUUAAGUGAGCCCAAAUUGCAGAGCAGCUCAAUACAGCAGAAUCAAACUGUAAGUAGUUUUUUUUUCUUAUUUACAGCAUUUUCUCCUCUCCAGAUUUCUUUUUUUACUGAUUGUGAUUUACAUACUGUCAUAUGAUGUCAUGCAUAUAUAAUUAAUUAUGCAAAUUUGCAUGGCUUCUAUUUUCCACAAGAAAGGUGGCAAUCCUAAG